rnacentral:misc_RNA from 1 species
UUUCCGCAGGUGAACCUGCGGAAGGAUCAUUAAAGAAUUUGCCCCGUCCUCUCGAGGAUGGGUCCUCUUCUAAACCGUGUAUACAUACCUUUGUUGCUUUGGCGGGCCGCCGUCUCGGCGUUGGCUUCGGCUGACUGUGCCCGCCAGAGAACCCCAACUCUUCUGUUUAGUAUUGUCUGAGUACUAUAUAAUAGUUAAAACUUUCAACAACGGAUCUCUUGGUUCUG